CCCAAAAACCCGAUAAACAAUUUCUUUAGCCGACAUUUUGCUAGGCGGAGCGACUCCAGAAAGUCUGCGGCAGCGGGAGAAGUCAACAAUUUCGGACCAAAUCCCGAGAGUUAAGCUGCUCGCGACGGGAACCCAAACUGUGCUGUACAGCGUUCGCCGCGCUGCCACCUGAAAGUACAAAGUGUCGCCACGCAGAUGGUGGGUCAGACAGGUUUCACCGAGAGUCUGACGCGCUUUUGUCCCGUGAGCCGUUGCCAGUAAAUGGGGAAGAAAGUCAUCACUGCAUGGUAACGAUCUACGCGGCAGUGCAACAAAUUGUCUUGAUGCCUAGCCAAACCAAGCAAAUCACAGAAUUGGUUUCUCCGUUUGACUGACACUAGGCUACAUCUGUCUCUUUCUGUGCGCCCGACUACCAGAUGAACAGACAGAAUUGUGGAUUUCUACGGUGAAAAGCGAUCGGCGUUGCUUGGGCGUUUUGCGAAUUUAGAGAGGUGAUGCUCGUUAGCUCACAAGCUGAACAGCCUCAGUCUCUACGGGACUCUUCGCCUUUGCCUUCAUGCGUGUCGACUCUGCCAUCAACAGCCGCGCGCCUUGGGCGAAGGAGCAGCUGUUGGUUGGGAGACUAAGCAACUCGUGGUACGGCUCAGUCCAGGUGUCCUUUGUUGUUGACCUAAUGAACUCCGUGACAGCCUGAAGAUCGGGCUCGGGCGUGCCUGGAAGCAAAGCGGUUAACGCGUGUUCGUCGCCAGUCACAAGGUAUUCGUUUGUUAAAAUUGUCCGUCGGGAAAACGACUGUACGUGGUGGACUCUCUCGAGGUCCCAACUGCCCCCAGGCAUGUACUGCAAAUCUGAAGUUUCCCCACGGAGUGUUGUUCCAUUAAGUAACUGUAUACUCCAUGCGGCAUCCUUCUUAGCCUACAACUGAUUCAGUCGCCAGCUGUCCGGACCAAAGAAGUGCUCCAAACAAGAGAAUGCUGAGACGCCUGUGACGUGGCCGGUUGCGGAGCUGCAACAUCCCGAAGCGCAGUUGGCGCUGACGGGGCGUUCUCAAUCGUUAACGCAAGAACGUCAGUGCUUCUUCCUGGAACAGAACAACAGAAAGAUGGACAAACAUAACGCAACGUUACUGGCGCGAUUUUCGUCUCGCCAAGGUGAUGACUGAAGUCAACUUUGAUCACGGGAUACGGAGGAAAAACGUGAGGUUGUGAGCUUAAGAAAAGGUCACCCAGUGAACCUCGCCGCACAGAGUCCGGUUUUCAGGCGCAGCUUGAGCAAAAAAGAGCUCUUGAAAACAAACUGGCUUCUUGCCGCAGGCUGUGCUUAAUCGACGCUACCGAUUGCGCCAGUGGAACAGUCGAGCGGAUUCCAAAUGGGCAAGGCAGGAAGGCCACCGUGUUGAAGCAACAAGGGCACGGCAGUAGUUUUCCUUCGAACGUGGGGCGCAGGAGUGGCAAACGGCGAAGGAGGAUCGGGCAUAUUGCCAUUUUAUGCCUUCUUUGAACAAGCCACAAAAAAGCUGAGUGUCAUGAUCCGCGGUGAGACACUCACGUGGGAGGCGUCCGCCUGAAGUCCCGACAGCUGGAGCCCUACAUCGCCCUACAUCCAUCAGAUUCCCAGUGAUGCAAAAAACAGGUGGAUUACGCUGAUACUCUGACAGUUGGGUUUUCUGUGAAAGGCAUGUUGAGGACAUCAGAGUAGGUUAGCGCUAAUAAACCUCUGUCGUAUGCGUCAACGACUCACCAUUGGAACGGACGUCCAGGCCCAGGAGACUAAGAACCACGAACAAAGCCAGGAAAGGACAGGAAGUAGUGGAGCGUACAGAGCGAACCCAACUCAUCGUGGGAAGCAAAUUGGGGUCACAUCUGUGUAGAAGGCAACAUCUCAAAAAAGCAUGCCUGUUGGCGGUCAGCAACACGUGGAAUCGGCUUUCUGUCGUGCCUGGCCCUCGUUCCUGUCGCGGCUGGUGGCCUGGGCUACCGAGCUCCCUUUAAUUACUCGUGGUAUCCCCACAAAUUCCCCGAAUUGAACCGAAAAAAUAUCAGGCGUUGAAACGGGUAAACCCAGGUUGAUUCCACGGAUCGUUCUCAGCGGCGAGAGGCCUUGUCAUUCUGCUGCAGGAACCUACCAGACAGCACUGCAACCUGUUGCCUACCGCGCGGUCGUGCAACGACCGCUCUCGUCGGGGCCCUGCACCUUUACGCUGUGUCUUGCACAAGACGCUGGCACUGUCGUGCCUUAUGCCAGUCCCCCAGAAGGCAUAGGCGCCUCCGGUCUGUGUACUGUAACAUCCUUGCUGAAUGUCCCAAUAAAAUAAAUGGGUAGGGAAGGGAACACUGGCACAGCUGGAAGUUGUUUGAGGGUCAUCCCUGGUUGCAGGGAAGAGGCGCAUCGUUCACUACAAAGAGCAACGGGCCCGGUGCAGGUACGCACCACGAAAAACGCACGAAGAAAAAAACAGCCCACUCAUAUAGCUUUUACCAGUGCACGUUGUGAAUGCCUUCUGGGAAAAAGUGGUCACACAUUUGUAUGCGACUGACCUCGCCAGCUCAAGCUGUGUUCUGAAUUCGACAGGUUCACGGGGGCUCCAGGGUCAAUCCCUGGCUGGACCCAUCUCGGUGUCCAAAGGCAUUUCAGGAAGAUGUCCAAAAAUACCACGCAUUAAACACAUUUUCAUGAGCGAUUUCGUUUAUUUCUCUGUCACUGGUCUCUUGGCGAACUCGUACUCUGAAUUCACGGUUGUCUCAGUACUGAAUUGCACGGUCUCGAACAUCGUAGGCAAGCAGCAGCGUACCUGAUGACACACUGAGGAAAGCGCGCGGACUCGCAAGUUAAAGCAAGAUCCUUUCUACCGUUCCAUUCUGAUGUGAGUCUUUUGGCUCGUUUGAGGCAACUGCAACCUUGCAGGAAAGUGCCGGACAAGUCACUGGUGUCAGUGUGUUGUACUGAAUAUUGUAGUGAUGGUGCACCUGGGUAAAACUCGAGAGCUGCUCAGUAAUCGUGGUUUACCUCUUAGCUGAUGUGCAUGUCAGUCAACGAAGUACGGUGCCGGUAAAUGAUGUUGGGAUGCAACGUCAUUUCUCGAUAAGAACCAGAUUAGAUCUAGCAGGUAUUUUUCGCAAUUUCGUUCAGUGUGAAGGAUCAAUGACAGACUAGGGUACGGCAAAACGACGAGAAUUUCCGUAGAGUAGUCCUUCGAAUGUUCUUGGCACAACACGUCGACGCUCCUAUACCGACUUCAUCUGUUCUGUUAACACGUCCUCGUCCGUUCAACGUCCUUGGUGUUGGUGAUAUGCGGCUUCUGGUGAUGGGGGACCCCAGCACAAUGGAAAAUGUUAUGCUGUGCCGAACGGCGUUAUACAGUCGCACGUAGCUCCGAAUAAAUCAAUCGCUUCCAACGUGUUAAUGCUUCUCAAUCGGCACUUUCUUAUGUGUGUAACUGUGAAGCCGCGCUCUCAAAUAUUUCUUCGACGUUAAACUUCAUUGCUUGUCAGGAUAGAGGUCGACAAGUACCAUAUGUUGAAAAAACACUCUAUCGGCGGCGAACCCUCAAACAUUUUGUGAGCG
rnacentral:lncRNA from 1 species